rnacentral:rRNA from 1 species
GUGAGGAAUAUUGGUCAAUGGACGAGAGUCUGAACCAGCCAAGUCGCGUGAAGGAAGACGGUUCUAUGAAUUGUAAACUUCUUUUGUGCAGGAAUAAAGUGGGUUACGUGUAACCUUUUGUAUGUACUGUACGAAUAAGGAUCGGCUAACUCCGUGCCAGCAGCCGCGGUAAUACGGAGGAUCCGAGCGUUAUCCGGAUUUAUUGGGUUUAAUGGGUGCGUAGGUGGAUUGAUAAGUCAGCGGUGAAAGUUUGCAGCUUAACUGUAAAAUUGCCGUUGAAACUGUCGGUCUUGAGUGCAAAUGAGGUAGGCGGAAUGUGUUGUGUAGCGGUGAAAUGCUUAGAGAUAACACAGAACUCCGAUUGCGAAGGCAGCGUACUGGGAUGCAACUGACACUGAUGCACGAAAGCGUGGGUAUCAAACAGGAUUAGAUAACCGGGUAGUCC